AAAAUUCCUAUAAGAAUUUGGGACAAAAUUCCUAUAGGAAUUUUUCCUAUAGGAAUUCCUAUAGGAAUUCCUAUAGGAAAAAUUCCUAUAGGAAAAAUUCCUAUAGGAAUUUUGUCCCAAAUUCUUAUAGGAAUUUUUCUC